CACCAGAUGACCCAGAGGCUACAAGACUCCACAAAGAAGCUGACAUUUCAACUCCAGACAUAUUUGGGGAGAUUGGAUUUUGAUUCCCAUUUCCAAAGGUUGCCCUGGGGCGUCAGACGCUGGGAGUUUAAAGUGGUGCCUUCGCUGUGACAGCGUCGAAGAAGCUGAAAUGUGACUUCACCCUAGAACAUCAACAGAGGGAAAAAAAAACCUAAAUGUGAUCGCCCAACAUGAUUGCACAACAGAUAAUAUGUCACUCACUCGUUAUCCUUUGUGCUGCCCGGAUUUCCUUAGGUGAACCACAGACCAAAGGAAAAAUCUCCAACAAUCUACAGAAGGGCAGAAAUCAACAAGAGAAAUGUGUGGGUAAUUGUCAUGUCAGUGGAAAGGACUGCACCGAGCCCUGUGACCGUCCCUUCCAUGGAAAGAUGACUUUUGGUUGCCCGAGAGGAUGGUGGCAGAAGUCGACAGAGACAUGCGCCAAUCUGGAUGUCCAAUCGCUU